CCUCGCCAAUACAAAGGGGUUAUUUCCAAUGGAAACAGACUGAAGAACCAAUGAAAAUUUGAUCCGCAGACUAAGUUGAUGCUACAGCUGCAGUGAACACCUGGGGGGAUAGAAAGAGACCGACGUCGAGGGGAUUAAGGAAACGGCAAAGCUAGUUUCAGGAGGAUUUGCUGUAAUGGAGACAAUAGAAAAAUGAGGCUGGCUCAGCUUCUUCCUCUCUUAAGAGUGAAAAGUCCAUUAAUCGGUAAGAGGCUCUGAGUAAACCCCGCUGCCUCUCCUCUGUGCUGAGAGGAGCAGGUUCAGGUGUUCUCCUGAUAAGGAUGCCUCCUGGAGCCGCCCUUUAGAGGUUAAACCGCCUGACCAGCUGUGGCCCCGCGGUCAACCAAGGUUCUGUUUGAGGGAUUACAUCCUCCACCUGGCCUAGAAACGGCUCUCCAUCCCCGGGAAGGAGCCGGUGGACGUCACCAAAGGAAUCCGAGGAAUGUUUGUGCAAAAGGUUCUCAGCAAAUACAAUUUUAAUGCAAAACGAUGCUGGUAGUUGACGGGA